rnacentral:lncRNA from 1 species
AGGAGAAAAAGUUGGAGAAAGGAGAAAAAGUUGGAGAAAGGAGAAAAAAUAAAAUAUCUCUCCUUUUAAAUAAUGAUCUAAUAUUUCAAGAAAAAAUAUCUCAAAAGGAGAUGUUUUAUUCUAAUUGGAGAAAGGAGAACGGGGUAGGAGAAAGGAGAAGAGGGGUGGGAGAAGGGAGAAGGGUACCCCCUGUCCUCCCCC